UACGAAGGGGGGCUAGCGUUGCUCGGAAUCACUGGGCGUAAAGCGCACGUAGGCGGCUUGUUAAGUCAGGGGUGAAAUCCUGGAGCUCAACUCCAGAACUGCCUUUGAUACUGGAGAGCUUGAGUCCGAAAGAGGUGAGUGGAACUCCGAGUGUAGAGGUGAAAUUCGUAGAUAUCGUAAGGAAGACCAGUGGCGAAGGCGGGUCUCUGGACAGUUCCUGACGCUGAGGCACGAAGGCCAGGG
rnacentral:rRNA from 1 species